rnacentral:rRNA from 1 species
UACGUAGGCAGCGAGCGUUGUUCGGAGUUACUGGGCGUAAAGCGUGCGUAGGCGGUGGCCCAAGUCUGGUGUGAAAUCUCCCGCUUAACCGGGAGGGUGCGCCGGAAACUGGGCUGCUUGAGUGCCGGAGAGGCAGGCGGAAUUCCUGGUGUAGCGGUGGAAUGCGCAGAUAUCAGGAGGAACACCGAUGGCGAAGGCAGAUCUCUGGGCCGUAACUGACGCUGAGGAGCGAAAGCGUGGGGAGCGAACAGG